rnacentral:rRNA from 1 species
CCUACGGGUGGCAGCAGUGGGGGAUAUUGCACAAUGGGGGGAACCCUGAUGCAGCGACGCAGCGUGGGUGAAGAAGCGCCUCGGCGCGUAAAGCCCUGUCAGCAGGGAAGAAAAUGACGGUACGUGAAGAAGAAGCCACGGCUAACUACGUGCCAGCAGGCGCGGUAAUACGUAGGGGGCAAGCGUUAUCCGGAUUUACUGGGUGUAAAGGGGGCGCAGACGGCGAUGCAAGCUAGGAGUGAAAGCCCGGGGCCCAACCCCGGGACUGCUCUUGGAACUGCGUGGCUGGAGUGCGGGAGGGGCAGGCGGAAUUCCUGGUGUGGCGGUGAAAUGCUUAGUUAUCAGGAGGAACACCAGUGGCGAAGGCGGCCUGCUGGACUGCAACUGACGUUGAGGCCCGAAGGCGUGGGGAGCAAACAGGAUUAGAUACCCGUGUAGUC